rnacentral:rRNA from 1 species
UACGGAGGGUGCAAGCGUUAUCCGGAUUUACUGGGCUUAAAGGGUGUGUAGGCGGGCUAUUAAGUCAGCGGUGAAAUCUCCGGGCUCAACCUGGAAACUGCCAUUGAUACUAUUAGUCUUGAAUUCUGUUGAGGUGGGCGGAAUAAAUCAUGUAGCGGUGAAAUGCAUAGAUAUGAUUUAGAACACCAAUUGCGAAGGCAGCUCGCUAAACAGAUAUUGACGCUGAGGCACGAAAGCGUGGGGAUCAAACAGG